CACGCGUUGACGUGUCGCGCUGCGUUUCCGACCUCUAGUAUGCGUCUUCUGCACGCACACGCACACACAGCUCUCUCAUGGGGACAUGCGGCCAGGAGACGCAGCCAGGGACUCCUGUCAGACUUCAAACAGCAAAUGGACACCCCAGGAAAGGCAGCGGAGAGUCCUCCAGCGCCCAUCUGUGGCAGUCAAAAUGGACACUAUAACGGCCAUCUUGCUUCCAGAAAUGGAGCCGAGGGACUGUACAACACUGAAAGGCAAAAAGGGGGAUGAGGAGGGAAAUGGCAGUUUAGCUCCUUUGCCACAUGCACCUCAACCUGUAAAUGCUCUUUUUAAAUCAGUCACUUUUUAUUUAUUUUAUUUACAUCCAAAAGGUUCUCUAUGUGCUGAAAAUUAAGAGUCUUCAGCCAUGCUAGCAGCUCUGUGAGUCUGUAGCUAACAUGCUCACUGGGACAAUGCUAAAAUAUUUUAUCUCACCAAUGUCAGUACGACAGACCCUCAGAUGCCCUUCCUACAGCCACACUGCUAGCGUGGCUAGGUGUAUUCCUUUGCAGGUAGUAUUGUGUGUAUUUAACAUGUUAGCGGUCCAGCUGAAGCCAUAAAGAGUCACUCUACAGUAAAAGUUGUACUAAAUUUA